CGUGACCUUGCCUGGCUCAAUCCCCGCAGACUUCAGGAGCAACUGGUAAGAACCCUGGCAGCCUUUGCGCAUGUGCCGGGAGUUGGGGAGGAGUACGGCAUCUGCGGGCAAGAACUACGUGAACCACCCGCGUUGGAUUUGCAGAGAGGAGUUCCGAGCAGGGUAUGGCAUAAAUACCAUCCAUGAAGCUAGGACAGAAUACUGCAGAGAUCUGACUAUUUCAUCAUUUUAAGACGUCAUGGAAAUCUUCCUUAAAUGCUUUGUCUGAACUCAAAAUCUAUAUCCAAAUCACUUCAACAAACAAAUGUCUCUGCAGCAGUUUGACCUGUC
rnacentral:lncRNA from 1 species